rnacentral:lncRNA from 1 species
CAGCAGCAAGGGACACUGUGGGGCUGCAGGUGAAAGGGAACAAAGAACUAACGGCACAAAGCAGCAUGAACAACCGCGACGGAGAACAAGCUUCUCUUUGCAAAAAUGGAUGGAGAAAAUUCUGACGUGCUAAAACACAGAUGAGGCUUGAAGACAUUACGCUAAGUGAAAUAUACCAGACACAAAAGGACAAACAUAAUUCCACUUAUUUGAGGGACCUAGAGAAGUCAAAUGCAUAGAGAUGAAAAAUAGAAUGGUUGUUGCUAAGGGCUGAGUGAGGGAGAAAUGGAGAGUGAGUGUUUAAUGGGUACAAUUCCAGUUUGGGAAGAUGAAAAAGAUCAGGAGAUGAAUGGUGGUGAGGGUCACACAACAAUGCGAAUGCCACAGAACUUAAUGCCGCUGAACUACAUAUAUACUUAAAAAUGGUUAAAAUGGAAAUUUUUAUGUUAUGUUGAUAUGGUUUGGCUGUGCCCCCACCCAAAUCUCAUCUUGAAUUGUAGUUCCCAUAAUCCCCACGUGUUGUGGGAGGUGAUUAGAUCAUGGGGGCCGUUCCCCCAUGCUGUUCUUAGGAUAGUUAGUGAGUUCUCUUGGGGUCUGUGGUUGUACAAGGGGCUUUUUCCCCCUUCACUCUGCAUUUCUCUCCCCUGCUGCCCUAUGAGUAGGUGUCUUCUGCUAUGAUUGUAAGUUUCCUG